rnacentral:lncRNA from 1 species
GGGCACACACAUCCUUCCGUGGAUCCAGUCUCUGCCCAACAAAGCAUUGAAAUGGGUCGUUGUCUCCACUACAAAGAAAGCCGUUAUCCUAACCUUCUGCCCCACUCUAACUUGGAGUGGGAUGAUCCUUUUUGAUGUUGUUGUAUGUCUCAUGAAUUUACCGACCGUUGUCUAGAUCAGGAUUAGUUCGUCCAGCCCCUUCUUCAAUUUCCUCAUGAUUGAGGCCGAGAAGACGUUGACCGUAGCC